GACGAACGCUGGCGGCGUGCUUAACACAUGCAAGUCGAACGGCAAGGCCCUGCUUUUGUGGGGUUCUCGAGUGGCGAACGGGUGAGUAACACGUGAGUAACCUGCCCUUGACUUUGGGAUAACUUCAGGAAACUGGGGCUAAUAUCGGAUAGGAGCUCCUGCUGCAUGGUGGGGGUUGGAACGUUUCGGCGGUUGGGGAUGGACUCGCGGCUUAUCAGCUUGUUGGUGGGGUAGUUGCUUACCAAGGGUUUGACGGGUAGCCGGCAUGAGAGGGUGACCGGCGUCAAUGGUACUGAGAGACGGCCCAGAGUGCAACAGGAGGCAGCAGGGGGGAAUAUUACACAGUGAGCGGGAGUCUGAUGCAGCAGCGCCGGGUGCGUGAUGACGGCCUGCUGGGUGAAAACCGCUUCCGCCUGUGACGAAGCGUGAGUGACGGUAAUGGGUAAAGAAGCACCGGCUAACUACGUG
rnacentral:rRNA from 1 species